rnacentral:rRNA from 1 species
CCUACGGGAGACAGCAGUAGGGAAUAUUGCACAAUGGGGGAAACCCUGAUGCAGCGACGCCGCGUGAGUGAUGAAGUAUUUCGGUUUGUAAAGCUCUAUCAGCAGGGAAGAAAAUGACGGUAUCUGACUAAGAAGCACCGGCUAACUACGUGCCAGCAGCCGCGGUAAUACGUAGGGGGCAAGCGUUAUCCGGAUUUACUGGGUGUAAAGGGAGCGUAGACGGUGAAGCAAGUCAGAAGUGAAAACCUAGGGCUCAACCAUGGGACUGCUUUUGAAACUGAGUAGCUAGAGUGGAGGAGAGGUAAGUGGAAUUCCUAGUGUAGCGGUGAAAUGCGUAGAUAUUAGGAGGAACACCAAUGGCGAAGGCGGCUUACUGGACUGUAACUGACGUUGAGGCUCGAAAGCGUGGGGAGCAAACAGGAUUAGAUACCCUUGUAGUC